rnacentral:lncRNA from 1 species
UGAGACCCCCCUGUGAUGAGGAUGUGCCGAUGGGGGCUGUGAGACCCCACCCCGUGAGCCCCCCACCCCUAACGAGGGUCUCUGCUCCCCGUAGGGCGCUCCUGGUGCUGAAGGUGCCCCCGGCCGUGACGGUGCUGCUGGUCCCAAGGGUGAUCGUGGUGAGACCGGCCCCGCCGGCCCCCCUGGUGCUCCCGGUGCCCCCGGUGCCCCCGGCCCCGUCGGUCCUGCUGGCAAGAAUGGAGAUCGCGGUGAGACCGGUCCUCAAGGUCCCGCUGGCCCCCCUGGUCCUGCUGGUGCUCGUGGUCCUGCUGGUCCCCAAGGUCCCCGUGGUGACAAAGGUGAAACCGGUGAACAGGGUGACAGAGGCAUGAAGGGUCACAGAGGCUUCUCCGGUCUCCAGGGCCCACCUGGUCCUCCCGGCUCUCCUGGUGAACAAGGUCCUUCUGGUGCUUCUGGUCCCGCCGGUCCCCCAGUGAGUCCCC